rnacentral:rRNA from 1 species
CGGGGAUAACAGGCUUAUCGCCUCCAAGAGUCCAUAUCGACGAGGCGGUUUGGCACCUCGAUGUCGGCUCACCGCAUCCUGGGGCUGAAGCAGGUCCCAAGGGUUGGUCUGUUCGCCCAUUAAAGCGGUACGCGAGCUGGGUUUAGAACGUCGUGAGACAGUUCGGUCCCUAUCCUUCGUGGGUGUUGGAAAUUUGAGGAGAUCUGCUCCUAGUACGAGAGGACCGGAGUGGACGAACCUCUGGUUUUCCGGUUGUGAUGCCAAUUGCAUCGCCGGGUAGCUAUGUUCGGAAAGGAUAACCGCUGAAAGCAUCUAAGCGGGAAGCCAACUCCAAAACUAGAUUUCCCUUCCUCCUUCGGGAGGACCGUAGACCCCUUGUAGACUACAAGGUUGAUAGGCCAGAUGUGUAAGCACAGCAAUGUGUUCAGCUAACUGGUACUAAUUGGUCGCGAGGCUUGACCUU